rnacentral:rRNA from 1 species
GACGAACGCUGGCGGCGCGCUUAACACAUGCAAGUCGAACGGAAAGGCCUGCUUUCCCUUGUGGAUUGCGGGUACUCGAGUGGCGAACGGGUGAGUAACACGUGAGUGAUCUGCCCCCAACUUGGGUAUAAGCCUGGGAAACUGGGUCUAAUUCCCGAUAGGACUGCAGGGUGGUGCCUGUGGUGGAAAACGAUUUUCUAGUGGUUGGGGAUGAGCUCGCGGCCUAUCAGCUUGUUGGUGGGGUAAUGGCCUACCAAGGCGGCGACGGGUAGCCGGCCUGGGAGGGUGGACGGGCACAUUGGGACGGAGAUACGGCCCAGAGUCCGACGGGAGGCAGCAGUGGGGAAUAUUGGACAAUGGGCGGAAGCCUGAUGCAGCGACGCCGCGUGGGGGAUGACGGCCUUCGGGUUGUAAACUCCUUUCGACCGGGAGGAAGCCACCUGGUUGGAAGGGUGGUGACGGUAGUGGUAGAAGAAGCACCGGCUAACUACGUG